rnacentral:rRNA from 1 species
CACGUAGGAGGCGAGCGUUGUCCGGAAUCAUUGGGCGUAAAGAGCGCGCAGGCGGCUUGGCAAGUCGGGUGUGAAAUCCCGGGGCUCAACCCCGUGACUGCAUCCGAUACUGUCAGGCUAGAGGUAGGUAGGGGAGAUCGGAAUUCCUGGUGUAGCGGUGAAAUGCGCAGAUAUCGGGAGGAACACCAAUGGCGAAGGCAGCUCGCUGGGACGGUACUGACGCUGAGACGCGAAAGCGUGGAGAGCAAACAGG